rnacentral:rRNA from 1 species
GACGAACCGUGCGAACGUUGUUCGGAAUCACUGGGCUUAAAGGGCGCGUAGGCGGGCACGCAAGUCAGGGGUGAAAUCCUCCGGCUCAACCGGAGAACGGCUUUUGAUACUGCGUGCCUCGAGGGGGGUAGGGGCAUGUGGAACUUCCGGUGGAGCGGUGAAAUGCGUAGAUAUCGUAAGGAAGACCAGUGGCGAAGGCGGGUCUCUGGACAGUUCCUGACGCUGAGGCACGAAGGUCAGGGGAGCAAACGGG